rnacentral:lncRNA from 1 species
UAAACAUGUCUUACUGCCGUUUGCCGUCAGGGAUUACGAUUUUUUGAAAUUUUUGCUGGAAAAGGAAAGGUAAAUCGCAAAAUUUUUAGAUACAUUAACCAGGAAAAGAUCCUAUCUAAGGAAUUUCUUGUUUUGAUCUGGAUAUUCUCACACCUUUUUUACGUAGUAGACAUUAAUAAUAGCAUAUGAGCAUACAUUCUUCAUGCAUUCUUUCACAGAAGAGGAGGUAGGAGUGAUCUCAGAGAAGGUAGCUAAUCUUUGACCAAAGGUUAAGUCCGAUGCAGGAAGAUAAAAAGCAUCGGGAGACAAAGAUUUAUGGCAAAUUGAGGGCUUAUCUAACACAGUUCAGCCAUAUCUACAACUACGACUUUGAAACUAAACAAAUAGGCUUUAUCUUCGUGGCAGUUGAUGGUUAUGUCCUUCUUCAUCUGCAACAGUUUGAAGAAGAUGCCCAUUACAUUGAAUAAAUUCAACAUUCGACAGUGGAAUCACGAAAUUCAACAUUGAAGAGAACCUAAAUCAUUUUAGAUUUUGUACAACAAAUCGAUGGUUGUAUACAGUUCCAGGGCAGUACAUUUAUCUUUUUCAUGAAUAUUACCAACAAUGCAUAAGGACUUACAAGUAUAUCUAAUUUUUUUGGCCUUUGGCCACUUCAUUUUCUUAUUGGUAAAAUCUAAUUAGAAUUUUACAUCCUGUUGUUUUUGGUUAACUUUCAAUUUUCUAUAAUAUCCUGAGUCCCAUAUUUUCUCCAUUGUGGUAAUAAUAACAUCAUUCAUUAAUUCUUUAAAGUAUUUUAUUGCCUGUAUUUCAAUAAGUCUCUUUUAUUUGCAUUAUUUUUCUUAUGGUGUUAUUUUUCUAAUGCUUUUUUGCUUGUGUAAUUCCUUGUACAGAAUUUUAGUUUUGAUGGAUACAUUUUUAUGUCAUUUUUUUCAGAUUGUAUCCCAUGAAUUGCUAUAAUUUUACAGAUCUUGUUGGUUCCUUUUGCCUGUGUUUAAACACACAAAAUACACUUAAAACUCCCACAAUAAGAACUAUUCCCAAUCAAUUCCUGGCGCAUUCGCCAUUUAUUCAAAAAACCUGACUCGUCCUCAGACGAUGUCUCUUCUGUUUUUCCUAGCCUUUUUUCCAAUGAAUUUUUCUGAAUAAUAUCGACUCCAGAGCAUCACAGCUAGCCUCCCCGCAAAAGAGGAGACCCGGGUCGCUCCCUAACCCUGAUGUUCGGGCAUCGAUGACCUAUGUAGCAUGCAUAGGUACCCAAGGGAGUCACCACCCUCUGGUUUACGAGCUAGGUGUUCUAACGCUAGAGGCUUCGGCCGGAUACGACCUGGCACCCAAGCUCCGAGACUUCUUCGUGCACGUAUUCCGUGACCCUCGAAGAGGCAGGGGGCGGGAUAUCGGACACAUUGAAGAUGAUGAGGGGGGUCCGCCUGUAGGGGGUCCCGGUGGAUGUCCGCUCGAUGGGUGACGAGGGCGACCCGAGACGAGGCUGUUUAGCUGGGAUGGGAACUGACUGGUGAGGCUUAAUCGUCGGACAAGGGUUAAAUCGGAUGAGGGAUGGCGAACUUGAUGCUCUGGAGGAUUUUUCUUCGUGCACUUCAGUCAUAUUUUGACGAGAUAUUCGUAGAGGAGGCUAAGCAUAGUCUUUGGUCAAUUUUCCAGUUCUUAUUGACCGCAUACUCCUUUUUUUCUUGCUUUUGGCCUAUUUCUAUUUAACUUUUUUGGUCUGUCAUAUUUUCUUUUUUUGGAAUUUCCUUAUUCGUAUAGAAUUAUUUUAUCUUUUUUAUCAAUUUUCAUUCUAUUUUUUCUCAAAUUAUCCCUCAUUUUCGUGGCUUUAUAUUUAUCCCUAUUAUUUGUUUUAUUAUUUUUCACUCAUAUUUUCAUUUCAUAUUCACUCUUCUCUUUGUUUGCCUUAUUCAUUAAUGUCAUCCUUCUAAGCCAUAAUAUUUCAACAUUUCUAUUUCCUGUAUUAUGUGUGUAUCAUGUAUUCCUUGUGGGAAUGGCAUCAUUCAGCAAUUCUAUAAACUCUUCCAUUCAAUUAUUGUCUUCUUAUAUGUAUGUAAUUUUAUAUUUUUUGUGUCACUUUUCUGGGACUUCUAAAUUCAUUAUACAUAUUUAUGCAAUUUUUUUUCUCAGCUCUAGAUACCAACUCUAUUUCGUUAUUUCUAUCUCAUUUUAUUUAUCUACAUGCUGUGAAAUCUUCUAAUUUUUUCUCUCAUUCUUUUAAAAUUGAGUUCUUUUAUGGAGUACUGCUUUGGAACAAGAAUGUUUUGGGAAAGCUGCAUUUCCACUGAAGAUUCCCUUUUGAAGAUGACAUUAGAUUGGUUAAAUUCAACAUUCAUCAGCCGAUUGAGAAUAUAUUUCAUCAUUGAAGUUGAAGCUAAGUCAUUUUAGAACCAAGACUUUCCUGAAGGGUACCGAGAAGAUUUAUUUACGUCCACAUAGACAUCAGCAUGUUCAUCAACACCUUGGAUUUUAAUGUUGUUUUUAUGUUACUCUUGUUAAUAAAAUAUAA